rnacentral:rRNA from 1 species
CGGCCACAACCGAACCCACGGCGCCGACGGCGUCAAGGAACACCCGUGACAAGCGGGGGGCACCCGUGCUCCCCGCGUCGAUACGCUAUAACCAAAACGACUCUCGGCAACGGAUAUCUCGGCUCUUGCAUCGAUGAAGAACGUAGCGAAAUGCGAUACCUGGUG